AACCGGCGACUGGUUUGAAGGAAGCCGCCGCAGCACCAGACACAGCCGCGCUGGCGCCGGGCGCUCUGCUCUCCUGAUUCACCCCCGUCCCUCACAGCCCGGAGGAGCAGCAGCAGCAGUGCAGCAGCGGAUCACUUAAGCUAGCAGCCAGGAAAUCCUCAUCCUCGCAGGGUGCAAUGGGUGCAAUGUCUCCAGUGCAAAUGUACCCCUGGGUCCAGGGAGGCCCACACCACACACACUGCACCCAUGUUUUAAUAGCAUUCCGCAGUCCCGCGGAUCCUGGACUUCAGUGUGAUUACUGUAGCAGUUAUGAUGUCCAGGAUGCACAGGGUGGACACCAGCCCCUUGAAACUUGAGUCCCAAGAGCAAGCCCAAUGGAAGAGACAGCACUGCAGAUGGUGACAUUUACGCCCUGCACACAAGUUAUGAUUAGUGGUAAUAUGUACUCAACAUGUAUUCCAAAACAGGUUCCACUGACAAAAUGUCUAUCUUGUCUAUGCUGGGAUCGACAUGACUGUUGUCUUUUACACUUUGUGAGAUAGAGUUUAUGGAAUAAAUAACUACAUUUUUCAUAUACACAGUAUAUAUGCUCAGAGGUCAGUUGGGAGGGGUAUAUAUGCUCAGGGGUCAGUUGGGAGGCUCCUGUCAGUCACUGUUCUGCCUAGAAGAGCAGCGGUGAAUAGACGCUGGGGUCUAUUCAUGAAGCAGUGAAAAGUAUGGAGAUGUUGCCCAUGGCAACCAAUCAGCAUUGAAGUAAGAUUUAUCAUUUGCAUACUAUACAAUUGUACGGAGAAGCUGAUUGGUUGCCAUGGACUUCUCCACAGACUCCCUUCUCCACUCUUUUCACUGCUUCUAUUCACUAGUGACGGAGGGACAGGGGGCAUGCCAGCAGCUCAUAUAGCCAUGGCCAUGCAUCCACAGUGACGAAAAAUGGGGCGUUACUCGCGAACGCGGCACUCCCGCAAAGCCACGCCCCCUUUUUAUAGGCCACAAGUAUCCCUCUUCCACUUCUCCCAAUGUUGGGAGGUAUGGUAUAAGACUAUACGGAAACCUUGAUUACCGUCGUUUUCUAUGGGCUACCGAAUGAUUUUCUCUAUCAUUUACAUUAUUUCAUGUACUGUACUUGAAAAGACAUCACCAGAGAGUACUACAAUGUGCUGCAGACUAGAACUUCCAGCAAAGCUGCUCUAUGGAUGAAUUCUAAAAUAGUUUUGUUUUUUUCAAACAUUGGACAAAUACUCUGCUGCCUGACAACUGACCUCAGUCCCAUGUUGAGGUGGCCAGACUUAGUGCUGCCAACACUCAGUGAUUUAUCUUGUAUGCUGUCAAGCAGGUUUCCAGACCUGCAAUGUGUUUUAGGGAAUGGGUUGUGAGCUGUGCUGCGUCUUGUAGAAAUAAAGAGACACCGUUAA